UACGAACUGUGCGAACGUUAUUCGGAAUCACUGGGCUUACAGGGUGCGUAGGCGGCUAUUCAGGUCAGGUGUGAAAGCCCCCGGCUCAACCGGGGAACUGCGCUUGAAACCGAGUGGCUCGAGUCAGCUAGAGGUACACGGAACUUCCAGUGGAGCGGUGAAAUGUGUUGAUAUUGGAAGGAACACCGGAGGCGAAAGCGGUGUACUGGGGCUGGUCUGACGCUGAGGCACGAAAGCCAGGGGAGCGGACGGG
rnacentral:rRNA from 1 species